UUCGGUGGUCAUCGCGUGAGGGAAACGCCCGGUUACAUUCAGAACGUGGAAGCCAAGCCCAACAGCGCCCACGGUACGGCAUGGGGGCCCCUGUGGGAGAGUAGGACGCCGCCGAAC
rnacentral:rRNA from 1 species